rnacentral:rRNA from 1 species
UACGGAGGGUGCGAGCGUUGUCCGGAAUCACUGGGCGUAAAGGGCGCGUAGGCGGCCUGAUAAGUAGGGGGUGAAAUCCUGCGGCUUAACCGCAGGGCUGCCUUCUAAACUGUCAGGCUAGAGCACAGUAGAGGCAGGUGGAAUUCCCGGUGUAGCGGUGGAAUGCGUAGAGAUCGGGAAGAACAUCAGUGGCGAAGGCGGCCUGCUGGGCUGCACCUGACGCUGAGCCGCGAAAGCCAGGGGAGCGAACGGG